UACGAAGGGGGCUAGCGUUGUUCGGAAUCACUGGGCGUAAAGGGCGCGUAGGCGGCUUUAUAAGUCGGGGGUGAAAGCCUGUGGCUCAACCACAGAAUUGCCUUCGAUACUGUAGAGCUUGAGACCGGAAGAGGUAAGUGGAACUGCGAGUGUAGAGGUGAAAUUCGUAGAUAUUCGCAAGAACACCAGUGGCGAAGGCGGCUUACUGGUCCGGUUCUGACGCUGAUGCGCGAAAGCCAGGGGAGCAAACAGG
rnacentral:rRNA from 1 species